rnacentral:misc_RNA from 1 species
GCUGUCAGACUCUAAAGUUGUUUGAACUGUUCUUGUUAAUUUUGUAUAAUAGUGUGUUAAGAGGAUUACCGAAUGAACGCAGCUGUAGUCUUUAAUGGGAGGAUUGCAUUGACAAGAUUGAUUUAAAGCUCUGGCAUCAAAAGAACCUAUUCUCUUUUAUGAUGAGAUCAUCUUAUAUGAGGAUGAACUUGCUGAUAAUGGAGUCUCACUUUUAACAGUGAAAGUGAGAGUCAUGCCAAGUGGUUGGUUCUUGUUGCUGCGUUUAUGGAAAGGAUAUCCUU